rnacentral:rRNA from 1 species
UACAGAGGUCUCAAGCGUUGUUCGGAUUCAUUGGGCGUAAAGGGUGCGUAGGUGGCGCGCUAAGUCAGGUGUGAAAUCUCGGGGCUUAACUCCGAAACUGCAUUUGAUACUGGCGUGCUUGAGGACUGGAGAGGAGACUGGAAUUUACGGUGUAGCGGUGAAAUGCGCAGAUAUCAGGAGGAACACCGGUGGCGAAGGCGGGUCUCUGGGCCGAUACUGACGCUGAGGAGCGAAAGCGUGGGGAGCGAACAGG